CGUUGGUGAACCAGCGGAGGGAUCAUUACCGAGUCUUUACAACUCAUAACCCUUUGUGAACCAUUAUACCUAGUUGCUUCGGCGGCGCGCCUCCGGGCGUGCCCGCCGGCCAAUUAUAGUCUCUUAGUUGUGAAUCGACGUUACAUCUGAGUGUUCUAAGCGAACUGUUAAAACUUUCAACAACGGAUCUCUUGGCUCCAGCAUCGAUGAAGAACGCAGCGAAACGCGAUAUGUAGUGUGAAUUGCAGAAUUCAGUGAAUCAUCGAAUCUUUGAACGCACAUUGCGCCUUCCAGUAUCCUGGGAGGCAUGCCUGUCCGAGCGUCGUUUCAACCCUCGAGCCCCCGUGGCCCGGUGUUGGGGACGCUGCCCAGCUACCUGGGCAGCCCCCCUAAAUGCUUCCCCGGUCCUUUUAACCCCACCAAUAAGUGAUGCUGGCCUGGGCACGCUCUGUACGGCUGUGCGGAGCACCUACCGAAAAACCCUACAAAGACCGCCCCGGCGGCAAC
rnacentral:misc_RNA from 1 species